UGCAGGGAAAUGAACGCCAUCCAAUGUUUUUCCUGUCGUUUUAGAUCGAAACGAUCCUUCUUCACUCUAUUUGGGAGGGGAAAAAUAAUAAUUAUUAUUUGAAAAUAAAAUAAUUAUGGAUUCGAGCACAAGGGAGUUAGAAAUGCUUACGAUCUACAACGUUUAAGAAGUUUAAGUCCAUAGCGCUACUGGUAGGGAUAUGGAUAAAGAAGCGAACAAACCGCUAUUACUAACUAUGCACCAUAAAAUUUAUAUUUGAACGUCAUUUAGUUACUUUUUUUUUGUCUUACAUACCGGCAGUGUAUAUUUUCUUACCACUUACAGCCAUAACAGGGAGUACUUUAGAGCGCUCCCUGCUUUGGCUAUAAAUAUAUUAUCGUUUUCUUAUUGGUUGUAAUUUUAAAAAUAAUAUGACUAGGAACAGUAAAUAAAAAGGGUACCAACAGA
rnacentral:lncRNA from 1 species